GAUGAACGCUGGCGGCGUGCCUAAUACAUGCAAGUCGAGCGAACAGACGAGGAGCUUGCUCCUCUGACGUUAGCGGCGGGCGGGUGAGUAACACGUGGAUAACCUACCUAUAAGACUGGGAUAACUUCGGGAAACCGUAGCUAAUACCGGAUAAUAUAUUGAACCGCAUGGUUCAAUAGUGAAAGACGGUUUUGCUGUCACUUAUAGAUGGAUCCGCGCCGCCUUAGCUAGUUGGUAAGGUAACGGCUUACCAAGGCAACGAUGCGUAGCCGACCUGAGAGAGGGAUAGGACACGCUGGGAGUGAGAGACGGGCCAGACUCGGACGGGAGGAAGCAGUAGGGAAUCUUCCGAAGUGGGAGAAAGCCAGACGGAGCAACGCGGCGUGAGUGAUGAAGGUAAUCGGAUCGGAAAACUCUGUGAUUAGGGAAGAACAAAUGUGUAAGUAACUAUGCAAGUAUUGACGGUACCUAAUCAGAAAGCCACGGCUAACUACGUG
rnacentral:rRNA from 1 species